GGCGACGUGGCGAAGUGGCUAACGCAGCGGUCUGCAAAACCGUUAUUCGCGGGUUCAAAUCCCGCCGUCGCCU
rnacentral:tRNA from 2 species